rnacentral:tRNA from 1 species
GCCCUUUUAACUCAGUGGUAGAGUAAUGCCAUGGUAAGGCAUAAGUCAUCGGU